AAUUAAAUCUGUACUGCAAAGAAAAAUUAACUUCUGAUAAAUUAUAUACCUUUUGCAUAAUGGUUUAAUUAUAAAUAAUUUAAAUUAAUAUUCCCGAAAUUAGUAGAUCUAAUUUUAUUAUUUUAUUAGAAAUAUUCUAUAUAAUGUUUCAAAAUUAUAAAUAUAAUUACAAUUAGUGGUGAAAGGCUUAUCAAUUCUAAUGAUAUCUGGAAUAAUUUAAAAUGUAUUUAGUACAGAAUAAAAGUUGAAUAAAAAAAUGUUAAGAUUUUUUUAUAAAAGAAUAAUAAAUUUUUAAAAAUUAUGAAUUAAUCUUCCAAUACCUUAUAAUAUUAUAUAAUUAUUAAUUUAUAUAUCUUGUAAAUAAAAUUAUAUUAUUAUUAAUUUCUCAAAUAAUUGAUUAUGUUAAAAUUAGUAUAAUACUUAUAUUAUUUUAAAGAACUCGGCUAAUUAUUAUUCAUCUGUUUAUCAAAAACAUAGUCUUAUGAAUUCAUAUAAGGUAUAACCUGCCCAGUGAAUAUAAUUUUAACGGCCGCAGUACUUUGACUGUGCUAAGGUAGCAUAAUAAAUUGACUUUUAAUUGGGGCCUUGAAUGAAUGGAUAAAUGGAUAAUUUCUGUUUCUUAAUAACUUGUUAUAAGUUACUUAAAAGGUGAAAAUUCCUUUAAUAUUAUUAAAUAGACGAGAAGACCCUAGGAGUUUUAAUUUUGUUGGGGCGACAAUAUAGCAAAUAACCUAUAUAUAAUAAUUUCUAAUCUAACGAAUAAUUUUAAUAAUAAUAAACUACCCUAGGGAUAACAGCAUAAUUUAAUUUUAAGUUUGUGACCUCGAUGUUGGACUAGGAACUUUUAAAGCUAACAGCAUUAAUUGGUAGUUCUGUUCGAACUUUUACUACCUACAUGAUCUG
rnacentral:rRNA from 1 species